GAUAAACGCUGGCGGCGUGCAUGAGACAUGCAAGUCGAACGAAGGAUCGGGCUUGCUCGAUCCUUAGUGGCGGACGGCUGAGUAACGCGUAGGUGACCUACCCCGAAGUGGGGAAUAACUGCCCGAAAGGGCGGCUAAUACCGCAUGUGGUCGCACGUUCAUUCGUGCGAGUAAAGCCGCAAGGCGCUUCGGGAGGGGCCUGCGUCCGAUUAGCUCGUUGGUGGGGUAAUGGCUUACCAAGGCGACGAUCGGUAGGUGGUCUGAGAGGACGAUCACCCAGACUGGGACUGAGACACGGCCCAGACUCCUACGGGAGGCAGCAGUCGGGAAUUUUGCUCAAUGGGGGAAACCCUGAAGCAGCAACGCCGCGUGAGGGAUGAAGGCCUUCGGGUUGUAAACCUCUUUUGUCGGGGACGAUGAUGACGGUACCUGGCGAAUAAGCCACGGCUAACUACGUG
rnacentral:rRNA from 1 species